CCUCCCCUCGCGCGCCACCCGUUUUUCCUCUUUCUCCGUUAAUAACGGCCGGGUGGCUGGGGGAGGAGGGAAGGUGGCUCCGGCGGAGUCUGGGCGGGCGCCUCCCACUCAGCCGCCAGUCGCCGUGGGAGCCGGAGGAUGGCGGCGGUAGCAGCGGCCGCUGGAGAGGAGGCGGUGGGGAGGCCCGGGGCGCCAAGCGCGGCGGCAGAAAGCGGCAGCGGCCCGUCAUGGCGCACCAGAACGGAAACCAGCGGCAGUCUCACGGCCACCUGAGUCGCCCCUUCCUGCUGGAGCCAGCGAGGGGUGCCUGCAGCCGGGACACCUUCCUCUCCGCGUCUCCUCGUCUCCCGCGCCCGCGUCAGGCCGCCAGCCUUGCCCACCGCCCCGAGAAGAGCGCGCCGGGCGCCGACUGCCCCUCGGGGCGCCGGGCGGCGGCCCUGGACGUGCGGGGGCCUCUCUGGGCCGGCCGCGGCGCCUCGGCCCUGCCCUCUAGCUCCCGCGUUCGCUCCUACCCUCUUGGCUCUCGGGGCACAGCGCGCGGCCCGGUCCGGAGCAGGGCGGACAUGAGGGCCAAGCAGAGCGGCCUGGCCGCCGCUAACGGCGCACGCGCGCGUACUCGGCUCGGAUCUACCUUCCAGUAGCAGCGGAGUGGCCAAUGGGACCGAGACCAGGGCCGGGGGCCGGGAGCCGCCGCCGCGGGGAGGUUCCCGGCUCAGGUGCCCAGCGCUCACCAGCCCAGCGCCUCGGGCGGCGCCGCGGCGGCCCCGGCAGCCCCGCGCAGCUGUUUCCUCGGGGGGGCGUGGCGUCGGGGGCCCGCGCGGCGCAGUCCUCCUUCAACAUCCCGAACAGCAGCAGCGGCUCGCAGGACUCGGUGCACAGCAGCCCUGAGGAUGGCGGCGGCGGCCGGCACCGGCCGGUGGGCGGGAGCCCCGGCGGGCCGCGCCUGGUGAUCGGCUCCUUACCAGCUCACCUCUCACCGCGCAUGUUUGGAGACUAUAUCAUCAUGUGCAUAGAAAAAUCCAAAGGAUUCUGCAAAAAAGCUACUAGAACCGCUGACUUCAUCAAGAUGCAGUCUCCCUCUGAUGCCCAGCCGAGGCUGGACUGUACUGCCGCCAUCUCGGCUCACUGCAACCUCCCUGCCUGAUUCUCCUGCCUCAGCCUGCCGAGUGCCUGGGAUUGCAGGCGCGCGCCGCCACGCCUGACUGGUUUUUGUAUUUUUUGGUGGAGAAGGGGUUUAGCCGUGUUGGCCGGUCUGGUCUCCAGCUCCUGACCGCGAGUGAUCUGCCCGCCUCGGCCUCCCGAGGUGCCGGGAUUGCAGACGGAGUCUCGCUCGCUCAGUGUUGCCCAGGCUGGAGUGCAGUGGUGUGAUCUCAGCUCGCUACAACCUCCACCUCCCAGCCGCCUGCCUUGGCCUCCCAAAGUGCUGAGAUUGCAGCCUCUGCCUGGCCGCCACCCCGUCUGGGAAGUGAGGAGCGUCUCUGCCUGGCCGCCCAUCGUCUGGGAUGUGAGGAGCCCCUCUGCCCAGCCGCCCAGUCUGAGAUGUGAAGAGCGCCUCUGCCCGGCGCGACCCCGUCUGGGAACUGAGGAGUGUCUCUGCCUGGCUGCCCAUCGUCAGGGAUGUGAGGAGCCCCUCUGUCCAGCCGCCCAGUCUGGGAAGUGAGGAGCGUCUCUGCCUGGCCACCCAUCGUCUGGGAUGUGAGGACCCCCUCUGCCCGGCCACCCAGUCUGGGAAGUGAGGAGCACCUCUUCCCAGCCGCCAUCCCGUCUGGGAAGUGAGGAGCAUCUCUGCCCGGCCGCCCAUCGUCUGAGAUGUGGGGAGCGCCUACUGCCCGGCCACGAUCCUGUCUGGGAACUGAGGAGUGUCUCUGCCCGACCGCCACCUCAUCUGGGAGUAAGGAACGUCUCUGCCUGGCCGCCCCGUCUGAGAAGUGAGGAGCCCCUCUGCCCGGCAGCCACCCCAUCUGGGAAGUGAGGAGCCCCUCUGCCCGGCAGCCACCCCGUCCAGGAGGUGGGGGGCAGCCCCCGCCCGGCCAGCCACCCCGCCCGGGAGGGAGGUGGGGCCAGUCCCCGCCCGGCCAGCCGCCCCGUUCGGGAGGUGGGGGGCGCCUGUGCCCGGCCGCCCCAUCUGGGAAGUGAGGAGCCCCUCUGCCCGGCCGCCACCCCGUCUGGGAGGUGUGCCCAACAGCUCAUUGAGAACGGGCCAUGAUGACGAUGGCAGUUUUGUCAAAUAGAAAGGGGGGAAAUGUGGGGAAAAGAAAGAGAAAUCAGAUUGUCGCGGUGUCUGUGUAGAAAGAAGUAGACAUAGGAGACUCCAUUUUGUUCUGUACUAAGAAAAAUUCUUCUGCCUUGGGAUGAUGUUAAUCUAUAACCUUACCCCCAACCCCGUGCUCUCUGAAACAUGUGCUGUGUCCACUCAGGGUUAAAUGGAUUAAGGGUGGUGCAAGAUGUGCUUUGUUAAACAGAUGCUUGAAGGCAGCAUGCUCCUUAAGAGUCAUUACCACGCCCUAAUCUCAAGUACCCAGGGACACAAACACUGCGGAAGGCCGCAGGGUCCUCUGUCUAGGAAAACCAGAGACCCUUGUUCACAUGUUUAUCUGCUGACCUUCCCUCCACUAUUGUCCUAUGACCCUGCCAAAUACCCCUCUCCGAAAAACACCCAAGAAUGAUCAAUAAAUACUAAAAAAAAAAAAACAAAAAAAAAACAAAAAACAACCAUACUCUUUUAGGCUAAGUGUUGGAAGAUAGUAAUAGAUUUCCGGCUGUGUGACUAAAUAAAUCUUACUUUACUAACGUAACUCCAAGAUAACUAUUCAAGCUCAUCACUCUCACUGUCCCUUCACGUGGUCAUCGUGCCCACCUACAAGGUAUCCAAAGCCAAAAGCCCAUCCCCAUUUAGAACCUUUUUGGCUCCCAUGACUCUCUUUUCCAUUUGGCUUGUCUAUUACCCUGGCUAUUAUUUACACACUAAGGUUCAUUCUUUGAGUUCAUGAGAGAACAGUUUCUGGGGUCUUUAAAUUUUAAGAGAAGAACUUAUGAUAUUCUGUUCAACUAUAAGGAUACACACAACUAAUAAACGUGAAAGGUCCCCUCCCUUUCUUAACAAGAUUGUGCUUACUAUUUUUAUCUGAUAAAGAGGAUCACUCUAUAAAUAUAUUAUUUGUCUCAAAUUAUGACUCACCUCUGGAUAAAGAUGGAAGCAUUUUACUGCAUUAAUUCCAAGAGGAUUUCAGUAAGCCUGUCAUUCAUAAUCGUCCCCAGUCCUUCCAAAAAUGAAGGUGCUUCAAUAUUGGUCUCGAAGUAGGAAUAAAAGUCCCUUUAAAAAAAAAAAAAAAAACGCACAUGUUGUCAAUGUAAUUAAAACUUUAAAAUAUUUAUUUUUAUCACUUCUUUAGAACAUUUUUUUUCUGAAAAAAAAAAGGUCAAUAAUAAGACUUCCUAAUUACUCCUCGCUAUUUUGCAUUCUUGGACUUUAAAAAGCACGUAUUUUCAGGUGAUCACUGUACUAUUCUUUCAAGUUUUCUAUAGGCUUUCAAACUAAAGAGUUGGAGGGAUGGUCGAAUGAUUUAAAGAGUUUCUCUAAUAAUGCCUUAAAAUGUGUAGACAGUAUAUGUUUAACUUUCCCAAAUCUGGUUUUAUCCCCCACAUUUGAGUUGCUUGAAGGUUGACAUCUGAUUAAUUCUAUCAUAAACAGGGAUGCCUUCAUGCCUCUGUACAACUUUGCAUAUAGAAAAUUACUUCUUUUUUUCCCAUGCUCUUAGGAAAUAAAAUAUAAUGACCGUAAGCAUCAUGAGCAAGGAAUCCAGUGCUUCUAGCUUACUUCCAUAGGUCCAUCUAAUCCUCUGUGCUAAGUGAAAGCUCAAUGUUGAUUGACUGUUGUUGCUCACAAAUACUAUGUACUAAAAAGCAGAUUAUUUUAGUGUCUUACACUUCAGCAUAUAAAAUAAAGGCUUCAUUAGGACAGUAAAAGUGCUGUUGAGUUAAAAUUCAUGGAUUAACAAUAGCAUGUUAUGUCUUAUUUCCCCAUCAAUUUCUUGCUUUCGCUCCUAAAAUCUAAAAGCAAAAAAGGGCCACAUUGUUUAAAAUGCAUUCUCCCUAAAAAAUGCUAUAUGCUGUAAUCAUAUCUGCCUCAUCCAACACGAGUAACUACUAAAUUAAAGGUCUGUUUUAGCUGAUGUCUGAAAGGCCAUUACCUCAUAGUUGAUUGGCAAAAUAUGAGUUCAUAAAGAAUUUUCCUUUCUGCUUAGGAGGAUAAAGCAAUAUAAUAAUUAAAGGAUAUCUAAUAUGCAAAAGUCUAUAUUUAGGGAAAUAUUAAAUAUUCCCUUUAAAAUGUUCAAAUGUCAUACAUAUGUUAAUGUAUCCAAUGCUUUGAAACUUUAUAGGGGCAAUAUAGGGAUGAAAAUUAAAAAGCAGUGACUGAGGGGCCUGGCAUAGGCAAAAUCAUAGAGACAGAAAAUAGAGCUGGGUAUGAUUAGUGUUUAGUGGGUGGAGUUUCUGUUUGGGAUAGCAAAAAGUUCUGGAUGUGGACAGCGGUAAUAGUUGCAAGACAAUACGAAUGUACUUAAUGUCACUGAAUUGUACGCUUAAAUGAUAACCAUUGAAAUUUUUCUAUUACAAACUUAAAUCUAAAUUUUACCAUAAUUUAAACAAAAAGCAAUGGCUAGAGUGAGGAGAGUCAGUUUCAAUGCUUCAGUAGGCCCCCGACCAGCUGGGAGCAGAUCUGGAAGAUGGACGGUUGUGGUGUCUUCUAAAUGUAAAAUUGCACAAUUUUGGUAUUCGCUAUCCCACUUACUCCUCACAAUAAUUAUGUGAGAUGUGUAUGGCAGAAAACUCCAUUUUAAAGAUUAAGUAUCGAAAAACAGAAAAAUAUUUAAAAAUUAUAUAAAAAGUUAUCUCUUAAAAGAGAUUAUCUUGAAAUCAAAAGAGAACCAAAUAAUAAUCAUCAUCAGUAAAAGACCCAGUAAAACAUGGGAUCUCCCAACUGUAGCCAAAGAGAAAGCAAUUUCUGAUAACAUCUCAUUUCAUUCCCCUUUAUCACUUCUUCAGUGCUUUGUUUGUCCUCCUUCCUCAGCUACUAUAAUUCAUCUUCAUUAUCUUAAAAAGAAGUCUGCAUUAGGAAAGGGUGAGAGAUAAUGAAGUAACAGAAAAAUAAUCUCAAACACUUUACUAUUUAAAUAAUAAACCUGGGUUAUAGCUUAUGAAACAGUGCAGUUCACCAAAAGUUCGUUUCAAUUCCUAAUACAUUUCUGCCUCAUAGUCUUGCUAUUCUUAAACCAAAAAUUAAUUCAUUAGAAGAAGAAACCUAACCAUUUCAGUGCGAAGUCAUCUCCCAUUCCAAAGAUGAGAGGUGAAAUGACGAUCAUUUUCAAAAAGUGUUACUAAAUGUAACCUAGAAAAAAAUGAAGUAUCAUAUUACAAUAAGAACAAGUUUCAAAACCAACAUUAAAAUAAGCGAUAAGAAAGCCAUAAAAAAGAAAACAAUAAAUUGUUAUAAUAUUGUUUUUAUAAUUUGCUUACUAACUUGUAUGUUUUUAGGCAUUUAUAAUGCAGUAUGGCACACACCUGAAAUUCCUUAACUCGGUGGUUUUUUAAACUUAAUUGUUGCCGGGUGCGUUGGCUCAUGCCUGUAAUCCCAGCACUUUGGGAGCCCAAGGCGGGCAGAUCACUUGAGGUCAGGAGUUCGAGACCAGCCUGGCCAACAUGGUGAAACCCUGUCUCUACUAAAAAUACAAAAAUUAGCCAGCCAUGGUAGUGCAUGUCUGUAAUCCUGGCUGCUAGGGAGGCUGAGGCAGAAGAAUUGCUUGAACCCAGCAGGCGGAGGUUGCAGUGAGCAGAGAUCAUGCCACUGCACUCCAGCCUGGGCGACAGAGUAAGACUCUGUCUCAAAAAAAAAAAAAACCAACUUAAUUGUAUAUCUAAAAUUCUUGUGGCUCGUUUCACCCUUCCUUCCAUUCCAGGCCUCUAAAUCAGAACAGAGGCAGGUUAGUGUUUGUUUUUUAAGUUUCAAGUGAUUCUAAUGUACCAGCCUUGGGAAAUACCUCCAUAACUGUUGAAAAGGGUUCAGAAUAUAAUUUUAAAUAAAAUUACUUUAGAUCAAAACAGACUUAGAAUAAGUAUAAUAUCACAUAAAGGAUCAACUUUCAAGUGCCAAAGAAUACAGGUGUGUACUUGAAGACCUUUUCGUAGUGAAACUCAGCAGCUGUAGGCAGUGAAAAAAGGAGCAUAUGUGAUAAACAAAAUUAGCUGUGGUCAACAAUUAUGCUAUAGCUAACUUAUGUAGUCAGUACUUUCCAGUGAAGUUGAAAAUAAAGCAAAGUUCCAUAUAUUAACCCUGUUUUCCACUAACCCUUCUUUACAUGUAGGACAUAUGCCAGGGUACCAAAAACUGCAGGAAUAUUCCCUACCAUUGCAGCCUCAGUUCUAAUAUCAAAAUCUCCCUGCAGACUAAAUGUCUAGAGCAGCACUGUGUCAACAGAACAUAGGGGCAGAUCUCAUACCUUCCAAGGGUAGAAAUCGCUGAGCACAGGUAAAAAUAAAAUAUUCCAGAGGGAAAUAAUAUUUUACAAAUUUUUAUAAACACUUUUGUAAAAUAAUGUACACAGGCUUGCACACUGAAAGAGUCAAAGCCAUUUAACUCUGUAUAACCACUGCAGAAUCUUUAUCUUCUUUUUUACCUGACUUCCAAUUGGCGGGUGUUAGUAAAACUUUAUCACCAAAGUUAUUUCACUGGCUGAGCGUGGUGGCUCAUGCCUGUAAUCCCAACACUUCGGGAGGCCAAGGCAGGUGGAUCAUUUGAGGCCAGGAGUUUGGCACCAGCCUGGCCAACACGGUGAAACCUCACCUCUACUAAAAAUACAACAAAUUGGCUGGGUGUGGUGGCGCACACCUGUAAUCCCAGCUACUCAGAAGGGUGAGGCACGAGAAUCACUUGAGCCUGGGAGGCAGAGGUUGCAAUGAGUCAAGAUCGCGCCACUGCACUCCAGCCUGGGAGACAGAGCAAGACUGUCUCAAAAAAAAAAAAAAAACAAAGUUAUUUCACUAGCAACAUAUAAUUACCAUAACACAAAGGAGGGUUUUAAAUGAACUACACAUGCAAAAUACACUAGAAAAGCUAGAUAUUUUAAAAAACGUGUGGUGAAUUAUUUGGUAAAGCCAAAAUAUUUUAAUUCAUAAGUUACUGUUCCCCUAAUGCAUCUAUUUUGUAAAUGCUGUUUCACAUAUGAGGUUUGUAAAAAAGCAAAAUAUAUGUAUAAACUGGCGUACAUAAAGAUGUUCUACAAAUAUAGCCAGAAGUUAUUGUUUUACUGUAUGCAAAGAGUGAUGGCAAUUUUUAAUUCAAAUGUUUUUAAAUAUUUCAAACUGAAACUAAAUCUUACCAAUGUAAAAUUGCCACAAAGACGGCUGGAAAAAAGAAAAGUUAUUAAAAGCUGCUUUAUUAUAAAAUACCGUAAAAACAAGUAUUUCAAAUGUAUUAUUUUACAUGUCUAGAAAGAUAGCACACAAAGGAAGACAGCCAGCUAAUCCUGUCUCUAUGAGCAUAGGAAAAAAUCCAGGACACAAAGUAAAUUCUGAACAGAGCUUACCUCUCUGCAGCAGGGCUUGACAAGCAAAGGGAGAGACUUGAGAGGGUUUUUUUACUUCAGGUAAUUGGUAAGAGUGAUGCAAUUAUGUAAUAUUGUGAUCUUUUUUGUUUUUUGUUUUUUUUAGUAUUCUAUUCCUUUAUAUGAAAUUUUUUAAAGAAGUAAAUAUAUACAGUAUGCUUCAGCUAGUUCUAACCAAGAGGAGCCACUCUAGAUCAGUUUCUCUAGCAUUCAUCAGAAGACAAAUGCAGGCAAUCACUUCCUCAGCGGCACAUCUAAAAGCCCCAUUGUGCAGCUCAACCCUUGAUGAAUUGCAAGCUCUUUGCAAGCGUCCAGACUUAGGAACUACUAGAUGGCCUAGGACACUUAUCUGGAGGCACCUGUGCCAGCGCCCCAUGUAUACAUAAGACUUCACCAGGGAGCUGGGAGACACUGCUCUGGGUAUGGAGCUUUUACCAGAGCUGCAAAUGCAGCCUGUGCCCGUUUGGUUGGGGAAUUGCUUGUUUUCAAGGGUACCAUGGAGCUGGAGAGAGAAAAGUGGGGAACAGAACAAGUUAAAACACCACAGACUUUGCUGUUCUUAUAGAGGUUCAGCAGCUUUUCUUGAAUUAAUGCCCUUUAGAUUGUUGUAAACCUUUGGUUAAUUUCCAGUUUUGAAGAAAAUGAUUUUGAUAAUUUUCCAAGUAUUUUCAUUGUCAUCAUGGAGUAGUGCAUUUCCUUGGCUAUUCCAGAAGUCCUACCUCUCUUCUGAGAUUUUAUAAUGGUAUUUCUUAUGGUUAUCCCAAAUAUACUUGGCAAGUUGUCUUAUAAACCACCAAUAAUAGCCUCUUAAAAAUUCAAAAAUUACUCCUCUUGGCUAACAAAAUAAAUGCAAAUUAAUUCAA